rnacentral:rRNA from 1 species
GAUAAACGCUGGCGGCGUGCAUGAGACAUGCAAGUCGAACGGACGACUCGAGGCUUGCUUCGAGUCGUUAGUGGCGGACGGCUGAGUAACGCGUGGGUGACCUGCCCCGAAGUGGGGAAUAACUGCCCGAAAGGGUGGCUAAUACCGCAUGUGGUGAUGCGUUCAUUCGCAUCAGUAAAGCCGCAAGGCGCUUCGGGAGGGGCCUGCGUCCGAUUAGCUCGUUGGUGGGGUAACGGCUCACCAAGGCGACGAUCGGUAGGUGGUCUGAGAGGACGAUCACCCAGACUGGGACUGAGACACGGCCCAGACUCCUACGGGAGGCAGCAGUCGGGAAUUUUGCGCAAUGGACGAAAGUCUGACGCAGCAACGCCGCGUGAGGGAUGAAGGCCUUCGGGUUGUAAACCUCUUUUGUCAGGGACGAUGAUGACGGUACCUGACGAAUAAGCCACGGCUAACUACGUGCCAGCAGCCGCGGUAAUAC